rnacentral:rRNA from 1 species
AACGAACGCUGGCGGCGUGCCUAACACAUGCAAGUCGAGCGCGAAAGUCCCCUCGGGGGCAAGUAGAGCGGCAGACGGGUGAGUAAUACAUAGGUAAUCUACCCUCGGGAUCGGGAUAACCCCGCGAAAGUGGAGCUAAUACCGGAUAAGACCACGCAACACCAGUUGUGUGGUAAAAGGUGGCUUGUAUUUAUACUAGCUAUCACUUGAGGAUGAGCCUUUGGCCUAUCAGCUUGUUGGUGAGGUAAAAGCUUACCAAGGCUAUGACGGGUAGCUGGUCUGAGAGGAUGAUCAGCCACACUGGGACUGAGACACGGCCCAGACUCCUACGGGAGGCAGCAGUGGGGGAUAUUGGGCAAUGGGCGAAAGCCUGACCCAGCGACGCCGCAUGGGCGAUGAAGGCCUUCGGGUCGUAAAGCCCUGUCAUGUGGGAAGAACUGUCUCGUGGCUAAUACCUGCGAGAUUUGACGGUACCACAGGAGGAAGCACCGGCUAACUCCGUGCCAGCCGCCGCAGUAAGAC